CAGCAAACCAAGUGACACAUUUAGACAUCUGUCUAUGCAUACCUUCUAGUAAUUGUGUUACAUACAUUUCCAAAAAAUGUAAAAAACAAACAAACACAUUACAGGAACAUUUUCUUGAGUUAAAUGUCUGGAGUCCACAAUUCAAUGUCAAAUAUCUACUCUAUCCAUUCCCAAUAAGUAGCUUUGGACAUGGAGUUGCCAAGUGGCAAAAAGAAUUGCUGCGUUUUGGUAAUAGCACAUCACUGCAAUGCUGUGCAAUGUAUGCAUAGUCUCUUUUUUUGUUUAUAGAUUGGUAGAAUGUAGAUGUGGGAGCCUUUCUUGGUUACACUGGAAUAAUCUGAGAUGAAACUAAAGCUAAGGAUGUUGGCAAAGGAACUUGUAGACAUGGAGUACAUAUCUUGGGUACAGUAAAAUUAAUUACUGCUUUAGAAAGAAAGAAAAAAAGAGAGAGAUAAAUGUGUCUGCCUUUAUCCUUGUACCAGGAUAAUGUCACCUUAGCAGUUUGCAUCUAGAAUUGGAUUAAAUCAAGUUGUUUAAAGAAGAUCAGAGUUAUUUGUCACCAUUCUAUUGAAAAGACUAAUACUUUGUGAUUUUGCUUCCUGGUUUAAUGUAACAAUGUUCCGUAAAAGCAACAUAUUUCCUUAUUGUGCUCUAACUAAACUUCCAUUAAUGAGCCAUUUAACAGACUGCAUGGAGUUCUAUUGCCCAAAUGAUAUAUCAGGAGGCACCCAAUAGAAAAUGAAUUUCCUCUGGUUUCAAGAUGUAUAGUAUAAAGAUAUACAACUUAUUUAUGUGUAAUGUUAGGUUAUUUUAAAAUGGUCUCUGAAAUAUUAAUCAUGUCAAGUAGUUCAUAAUGUAUCUCAUAUAUUCUAUUCUGCACUAUCCGACAUCUAGUGAUCAUGGAAAAGUCAAUAUAUUCACUGGUAAAAUGAUUAUAAUAAGUAGUAACUGUGCUAAAGACAGAAAAAAAAAAGCAUCCCUAUGAAAUAAGCAUAAAGCCAACAGUGAUAUAACAAACUCUUGAUUAAAAACAUAACAACACACCCCCUCUCAAAACAAAACGUAAUAUACUUAAUAUAAAAACAUUUUUUAGAAGCAAAAUCUAAAAAAAAAAAAAAAAGGCAUAGAAAUUUCAGUUGAUUAAAAAAGGUUCAAAAGUGUGUCGGCCCCUUUCUGGGGUACUGGCUGUACCCCACCAAUGUUUGCCCUGGAUAGUAGGACGACAACAAACGUCAAGUGGAGAUGGAGUGUGAGAUUCUCUGAUGCAAGUUACAAUAAACUUACAAAAAUUAUCAUUUUUAAAAACAUGAAAAGGGCAAAUAAGUCAAUU